rnacentral:ncRNA from 2 species
UGCCUGCAAGGAAAUGGUGUCUUCCUACUGAACCGUUCUUUCUUAAGAACUAAUGGCGCCUACAAAUUA